rnacentral:rRNA from 1 species
GACGUAGGUGGCGAACGUUAUCCGGAAUCAUUGGGCGCAAAGGGUGCGUAGAUGGCAUGAUAAGUUAUUAGUGGGAAAUCGAGGCUCAACCUCGUGGAAGCUAGUAAUACUGUUUUGCUUGAGUACAGAAGAGGUUAACGGAACUCCAUGUGGAGCGGUAAAAUGCGUAGAUAUAUGGAAGAACACCAAUAACGGCGAAGGCAGUUAACUAUUCUGUUACUGACAUUGAGGCAUGAAAGCGUGGGGAGCAAAACGG